UACGUAGGGUGCGAGCGUUAAUCGGAAUUACUGGGCGUAAAGUGUGCGCAGGCGGCCGCGCAAGUCGAGUGUGAAAGCCCCGGGCUUAACUUGGGAAUUGCGCUCGAAACUACGUGGCUGGAGUGUGGCAGAGGAAGGUGGAAUUCCACGUGUAGCGGAUGAAUGCGUAGAGAAUGUGGAGGAACACCGAUGGCGAAGGCAGCCUUCUGGGCCAAUACGUGACGCUCAGUGCACGAAAGCGUGGGGAGCAAACAGG
rnacentral:rRNA from 1 species